rnacentral:rRNA from 1 species
CCCUAUGGUUUCUUAAUUCUGAAGUGAAAGCCACGCUUUCCAAGGAAGGUCUUGGAAACUGGGGAACUUGAGUGCCACUUCAUUGUGGAAUUCCAGUGUGCGGUGAAAUGCGUAGAUAUUUGGAGGAACACCAGUGGCGAAGGCGACUUUCUGGUCUGUAACUGACACUGAGGCGCGAAAGCGUGGGGAGCAAACAGGAUUAGAUACCCUGGUAGUCCACGCCGUA